rnacentral:rRNA from 1 species
GUGUCAGCAGCCGCGGUAAGACGAACCGUGCGAACGUUGUUCGGAUUCACUGGGCUUAAAGGGCGCGUAGGCGGGCGUCAGGGUCCGGGGUGAAAGCCCCCAGCUUAACUGGGGAAUAGCCCCGGAAACCGGACGUCUCGAGGGAGGUAGGGGCAGGUGGAACUUCCGGUGGAGCGGUGAAAUGCGUAGAUAUCGGAAGGAACGCCGGUGGCGAAAGCGACCUGCUGGACCUCUUCUGACGCUGAGGCGCGAAAGCUAGGGGAGCAAACGGGAUUAGAUACCCCGGUAGUCCUAGCCCUAAACGAUGGGUACUGGGUUGUAGACUUAACAUGGGUUUACAGCCGGAGCAAAAGUGUUAAGUACCCCGCCUGGGGAGUAUGGUCGCAAGGCUGAA